UACGAAGGGGGCGAGCGUUGUUCGGAUUUACUGGGCGUAAAGGGCGCGCAGGCGGCGCAUUUUGUCAGGCGUGAAAGCCCCGGGCUUAACCUGGGAACUGCGUUUGAUACGGAUGGGCUAGAGUUCGGGAGAGGAGAGUGGAAUUCCCAGUGUAGAGGUGAAAUUCGUAGAUAUUGGGAAGAACACCGGUGGCGAAGGCGGGUCUCUGGGCAGUAACUGACGCUGAGGAGCGAAAGCGUGGGGAGCGAACAGG
rnacentral:rRNA from 1 species